rnacentral:lncRNA from 1 species
GAGGUUGGUAGUUCAUUGGAUCCUUUGAGGUUUCUUAUUAUGGAGUUUAGAGUGCUGCUUGUGGUGAUAUAUAUUUGUUACCCUUAUUUGAUUGUCUGUUUGUCUUGUAACCAUUAUUGACAUGAUAAUUUUGCUCCACUUUGGUAGUCUGCAUUAUGUUCUAUUUCAGGUGGAGUUCAGUCAGCUAUUCCGAUUAAAGAUUGAAUGAGUAGCAGGUGUGUAACAUUUGAAGUGGAGGAUUUGUCAUGAGUUAUCCACUAUUUGAGCAGCAUGUUACAGCCAUUGUCCAAGCUACUCUUGAGAGGAUGUACUACAUAUUUGGCACAUCAUUACAGCCA